rnacentral:rRNA from 1 species
UACGAAGGGGGCUAGCGUUGUUCGGAUUUACUGGGCGUAAAGCGCACGUAGGCGGAUCGUUAAGUCGGGGGUGAAAUCCUGGAGCUCAACUCCAGAACUGCCUUCGAUACUGGCGAUCUCGAGUCCGGAAGAGGUGAGUGGAACUCCUAGUGUAGAGGUGGAAUUCGUAGAUAUUGGAGAAGACACCAGUGGCGAAGGCGACUCACUGGUCCGGUACUGACGCUGAGGUGCGAAAGCGUGGGGAGCAAACAGG